rnacentral:rRNA from 1 species
UACGGAGGAUGCGAGCGUUGUCCGGAAUCACUGGGCGUAAAGGGCGCGUAGGUGGCGCGGGCAGUCAACGGUGAAAGUUCGGGGCUCAACCCCGAAUCGGCCGUCGAUACUCCCGGGCUUGAGCACUGUAGAGGCUAAUGGAAUUCCGGGUGUAGCGGUGGAAUGCGUAGAGAUCCGGAAGAACACCGGUGGCGAAGGCGGUUAGCUGGGCAGUUGCUGACACUGAGGCGCG